rnacentral:rRNA from 1 species
GUGGGGAAUAUUGGACAAUGGGCGAAAGCCUGAUCCAGCCAUGCCGCGUGUGUGAAGAAGGUCUUCGGAUUGUAAAGCACUUUAAGAUGGGAGGAAGGGCAGUAAGUUAAUACCUUGCUGUUUUGACGUUACCGACAGAAUAAGCACCGGCUAACUUCGUGCCAGCAGCCGCGGUAAUACGAAGGGUGCAAGCGUUAAUCGGAAUUACUGGGCGUAAAGCGCGCGUAGGUGGUUUUGUAAGUUGGAGGUGAAAUCCCCGGGCUCAACCUGGGAACUGCCUCCAAAACUGCAUGACUAGAGUACGGUAGAGGGUAGUGGAAUUUCCUGUGUAGCGGUGAAAUGCGUAGAUAUAGGAAGGAACACCAAUGGCGAAGGCGACUACCUGGACUGAUACUGACACUGAGGUGCGAAAGCGUGGGGAGCAAACAGGAUUAGAAACCCCGGUAGUCC